rnacentral:miRNA from 1 species
UUUCUUUCUUUCUUUCUUUCUUUCUUUCUUUCUCUCUCUCCUCCCUGCCCCCGAGAGAGAGAGAGAGAAAGAAAGAAAGAAAGAAAGAAAGAAAGAAA